GUGUACGUACAAGCAGUGGGAGCACAGGUUUACCUGUGUGACUGCGUACCUUUUGUAUAAUGGGUCAGCGACUUAUAUUCUGUAGCAAGGUUAACCGUAUAGGGGAGCCGUAGGGAAACCGAGUCUUAACCGGGCGUUAAGUUGCAGGGUAUAGACCCGAAACCCGGUGAUCUAGCCAUGGGCAGGUUGAAGGUUGGGUAACACUAACUGGAGGACCGAACCGACUAAUGUUGAAAAAUUAGCGGAUGACCUGUGGCUGGGGGUGAAAGGCCAAUCAAACCGGGAGAUAGCUGGUUCUCCCCGAAAGCUAUUUAGGUAGCGCCUCGUGAAUUCAUCUCCGGGGGUAGAGCACUGUUUCGGCUAGGGGGCCAUCCCGGCUUACCAACCCGAUGCAAACUGCGAAUACCGGAGAAUGUUAUCACGGGAGACACACGGCGGGUGCUAACGUCCGUCGUGAAGAGGGAAACAACCCAGACCGCCAGCUAAGGUCCCAAAGUCAUGGUUAAGUGGGAAACGAUGUGGGAAGGCCCAGACAGCCAGGAUGUUGGCUUAGAAGCAGCCAUCAUUUAAAGAAAGCGUAAUAGCUCACUGGUCGAGUCGGCCUGCGCGGAAGAUGUAACGGGGCUAAACCAUGCACCGAAGCUGCGGCAGCGACGCUUAUGCGUUGUUGGGUAGGGGAGCG
rnacentral:rRNA from 1 species